UGAGCUAGGCUUGAGAGGCAGCGCUGGGUAGGACUGAGAGGAGCAAGCAUGGUGGGAGGCCCCAACCUCAGACCACACUCACCGGGGUUUCCAGAGGUCUCCAAGAGGCAAGGAUAUUUGGUGGCCCUGCUUCACCCAACUGUUCUUCUAGCAUUCUCCACAUCGUGUGCUAUAAGUUGGAUUUGAUCAGAAUUCUCACUCCUCGUUCUAAGUCAGAAUCACCUGCAGAGCAGGCAGCAGAAGGUCUGAAAGCUCCCUAUGGUCCAGAACUGCUGGAUGAGACCAUUAGUGGGAAUUUGGGUAUGAAUGACAACUAAAUAAAAAUAUGCCUACAUCUA